UCUGACUGUGAGAGUUGUGAGACCCGCCGCUCGCUGAGGACAGUAACUGAAGAAGGAGUGUGUUCACCUCAGAGUCUCCAACAGUCUCCAACAACACCAGAAAAAGUCGCUAGAUUUGUCGCUAGUCGCUUAAAAAAAAGUCGCUAGAGGAGUCUGAGAAGUCGCUAAGUUGGCAACACUGGAUGUCGCGAUGGGGUUGAGACGUUAUUCAUUACCAAUCAAAUAAGCUUAUUUUAGCGCAAAAAAAGAACAACUCAUGGGCGCCGCCGGGCGAAGCAACCCACGUUGCACAACGCCAAUUAGUUAACUAACUAAGAAAGCGUCCCUGCUGUUGGAUUAUGGAACGACGAGCUCAGACGGAACUGUUCCUCGGCCAUUUAUUGGAAAGGCUCCAUACUCGACUUCGGAGUUGGCUUGACCGUAUUCCUCUUGAUGUAGUUAGAUUACUUAGAAUUUGUGUGUUCACAGAAGCUGGUACUCCUUAGUUCAGUCUCAACUCAAGUAGAUGUUCCUCAAGGUGUUUAUAACGCACUUGCAGAGGUCCACCAGAUGGCAUGCAAUCUAAAUAACAAGGAGACCUGCAUCACUAUUGAGCAUGAGAAGGGAAUGAAUGGCUGUUGGGUCUGUCAAGAUUUACAGUACACAGGCGUAUGGCAGAGUGGGGGUUAUCUGUGUGGGCAGGCUUCAGCAUCUUGACUGAUGAGGAACUGGACUCCCUAGUAUCAACAAUUCAUGCCAAAAAUUCAAAUGCAGGAUAUAGAAUGAUGAUGGGUUUGCUGAGGGCACAAGGACUUUGUGCGUAGUGGGAAAAAGUACAUUCUUCAAUGCACCGAGUAGACACCAUUGGCAUAAUUUCCAGAAUGUCAGAGUUGGGCUGUGUGAUCAGAGGAACAUAUUCUGUGACAGCCCCAAAGUCACUGAUGCACAUCGACACAAAUCACAAGUUAAUAAGGGUGUGGGGCGACCAUGGAGCAGAGACUAUUGAUGUGGCUCGUGUUAUGUUGUCCGUUAGGGGAACGGGAAGGAGUAGCUUUAUUGCAGGCAAAAGCGUCCACAAUCAAAGAAUUGAGCGCUAGUGGUGUGAUGUGUUCACAGCAGUGACCAGCCACUUCUACAACGUCCUGCAUGAGCCUGAUGAGGGUCAUCUUGAUCUGUUCAGCAGCCUGCACAACUGCCAUAAUGACUUCAUUCCAUGCCUGCAAGCCCACCUUGACAUUUUCAGAGAUGGUUGGGAUAAUUAUCCUAUUUGGGCAACCUCUCUCCUAAUCAGCUGUGGCACCUGGGACAACAAUAUCACUCUCAAGAGAGUGAUGAAAAUCUGAACAUUCCACAAAUAGACUGGGAAAGCAGUGGACUUCUGCCCAGUGAUUCCAACUCUGGCAUCCAGGUCCCUAAAAUUGAAUGCCCACUGACAGCUGAUGAAUUUGCUGGACUAAAGUCUACUGUAGAACGUCAACAAGAGUCAAGAGAGUCAACAAGUUUUGGUGGCAGUAUUUAUUUAGCAGCACUGCAGUACAUGCA